GCCCAGUUAGCUCAAUCGGUAGAGCGUGAGACUCUUAAUCUCAAGGUUGCGGGUGAGUAGCAUGAACACCCCGGGCU